GUGCACUUUGGCAGCACAUAUACUAAAAUUGGAAUUGGGACCAUACAGAGAAGAUUAGCAUGGUUCAUGCGCAAGGAUGACACGCAAAUCCUUGAAGCAUUCCAUAUUUUU